GGGGGGGGGGGGGGGGGGGGGGGGGGGGGGGGGGGGGGGCGGGGGCACAGUGAGAGCUUGCUCGUGCGGGUGGCGAGUGGCGGACGGGUGAGGGAUGCAUCGGAAUCUACUUUUUCGUGGGGGAUAACGUAGGGAAACUUACGCUAAUACCGCAUCCGACCUACGGGUGAAAGCAGGGGAUCUUCGGACCUUUCGCGAUUGAAUGAGCCGAUGUCGGAUUAGCUAGUUGGCGGGGUAAAGGCCCACCAAGGCGACGAUCCGUAGCUGGUCUGCGAGGAUGAUCAGCCACACUGGAACUGAGACACGGUCCAGACUCCUACGGGAGGCAGCAGUGGGGAAUAUUGGACAAUGGGCGCAAGCCUGAUCCAGCCAUACCGCGUGGGUGAAGAAGGCCUUCGGGUUGUAAAGCCCUUUUGUUGGGAAAGAAAAGCAGCAGGUUAAUACCCCGCUGUUCUGACGGUACCCAAAGAAUAAGCACCGGCUAACUUCGUG
rnacentral:rRNA from 1 species